rnacentral:rRNA from 1 species
AACACAUGCAAGUCGAACGGCAGCACAGAGGAGCUUGCUCCUCGGGUGGCGAGUGGCGGACGGGUGAGGAAUACGUCGGAAUCUGCCUAUUUGUGGGGGAUAACGUAGGGAAACUUACGCUAAUACCGCAUACGACCUUAGGGUGAAAGCGGAGGACCUUCGGGCUUCGCGCAGAUAGAUGAGCCGACGUCGGAUUAGCUAGUUGGCGGGGUAAAGGCCCACCAAGGCGACGAUCCGUAGCUGGUCUGAGAGGAUGAUCAGCCACACUGGAACUGAGACACGGUCCAGACUCCUACGGGAGGCAGCAGUGGGGAAUAUUGGACAAUGGGCGCAAGCCUGAUCCAGCCAUGCCGCGUGUGUGAAGAAGGCCUUCGGGUUGUAAAGCACUUUUGUCCGGAAAGAAAAGCUUCGGGUUAAUACCCCGGGGUCCUGACGGUACCGGAAGAAUAAG